rnacentral:rRNA from 1 species
UUGAACGCUGGCGGCAUGCUUUACACAUGCAAGUCGAACGGCAGCGCGGGCUUCGGCCUGGCGGCGAGUGGCGAACGGGUGAGUAAUGCAUCGGAACGUGCCCAGUAGUGGGGGAUAGCCCGGCGAAAGCCGGAUUAAUACCGCAUACGACCUGAGGGUGAAAGCGGGGGACCGAAAGGCCUCGCGCUAUUGGAGCGGCCGAUGUCGGAUUAGCUAGUUGGUGGGGUAAAGGCUUACCAAGGCGACGAUCCGUAGCUGGUCUGAGAGGACGACCAGCCACACUGGGACUGAGACACGGCCCAGACUCCUACGGGAGGCAGCAGUGGGGAAUUUUGGACAAUGGGGGCAACCCUGAUCCAGCCAUGCCGCGUGCGGGAAGAAGGCCUUCGGGUUGUAAACCGCUUUUGUUCGGGAAGAAAUCCUCUGGGCUAAUACCCCGGGGGGAUGACGGUACCGGAAGAAUAAGCCCCGGCUAACUACGUG